GGCUUUAUAGUUGAAAAACAAUGUCAAAUUGCAGCUUUGAAGGUAUAAUUUUAUUAAGGCUU
rnacentral:tRNA from 1 species